AAGGAUUCCCUUAGUAACUGCGAGUGAAGAGGGAAAAGCUCAAAUUUAAAAUCUGGCAGUGUUUCACUGUCCGAGUUGUAACCUAGAGAAGUGUAACCUGCACUGGACCGUGUAUAAGUCUCCUGGAAUGGAGCAUCACAGAGGGUGAGAAUCCCGUCUUUGACAUGGACCACCAGUGCAUUGUGGUUGUGCUCUCAACGAGUCGAGUUGUUUGGGAAUGCAGCUCUAAAUGGGUGGUAAAUUCCAUCUAAAGCUAAAUAUUGGCGAGAGACCGAUAGCGAACAAGUACCGUGAGGGAAAGAUGAAAAGAACUUUGGAAAGAGAGUUAAACAGUAUGUGAAAUUGUUGAAAGGGAAACGUUUGAAGUCAGUCGCGUUGGUUGGGGAUCAGCCUGACAUUGUUGGGUUUACUUCCUGGUCGACGGGCCAACAUCAGUUUUGACUGCCAGAAAAAGGCCAAAGGAAUGUGGCACCUUUGGGUGUGUUAUAGCCCUUGGUCGUAUAUGGUGGUUGGGACUGAGGAAAGCAGCGUGCCGAAAGGCCGGGUUUCGACCACGUUCACGCUGAGGAUGUUGGCAUAAUGGCUUUAAGCGACCCGUCUUGAAACACGGACCAAGGAGUCUAACAUGCAUGCGAGUGUUUGGGUGGAAAACCCUUACGCGUAAUGAAAGUGAAAGUUGAGAUCCCUGUCGCGGGGAGCAUCGACGCCCGGACCAGAACUUUUGGGACGGAUCUGCGGUAGAGCACGUAUGUUGGGACCCGAAAGAUGGUGAACUAUGCCUGAAUAGGGUGAAGCCAGAGGAAACUCUGGUGGAGGCUCGUAGCGAUUCUGACGUGCAAAUCGAUCGUCAAAUUUGGGUAUAGGGGCGAAAGACUAAUCGAACCA
rnacentral:rRNA from 1 species